AAUAUUCUAAUUUUAUGGUUUCUCACCUAGAUUUAUCAAGGUCACUUGAUAUGUAAAGUAAUAUAUUUAAUAUAUUUCUUUGGCCAAAUUUGAAAUGGACUGAGUAUUCAUGCAUUGCAUAGUAGUAUUUAAAAAGAUUCAUAAAAAUAUUUCUCUGUGUGAGUUCAAAAGCAAGAAGAGUGUUGUCUAAGGGAGUGGGGAAAAUCAGAUACUAUUGUAUUUUCUUGUCAUUUCUAACCAAAUGUGUAAACACACACACUCACACAAACAUGCUGUUUUGUGCUGCAUAACGACAUUUCCGUCGAUGGUGGUGGUCCCGUAGGAUUAGCACCAUAUAGCUUAGGUGUGUAGUCGGCUAAACCAUCUAGGUUUGUGUAAAUAUACUCUAUCGUCUUCAGACAAUGAUGAAAUUGCCUAAUAACACAUUUCUCUGAAAGUGUCCCCAUCAUUAAAUGGCACAUGACUGUAGACCCUAUUUUCAAAUAAGAUCAUAGUCUGAGGUUCUGGGUGGACCUGAAUAUUGUGGGAAUAUUCAACCUACAAUAGCUCAUAACUGAGUUCAAAAUUUCAGGAGAUAUUAAAAUAAUUAUAAAAAUUACAGAUGUGAGGUUUCUAAGUAAUAAAGAUUAGAUUCUGAUUUGUUUUGUAUCACAACCUUACUCAUUUUUCAUUUAGGUUAAUUUCUCCUUCCCUAGUUCUUCUGUUUCAGAAGGCUCUGGCUUACAGAGGAGAAAUGAUACGCUCUUUCUCCCCUGUGGUUGAUAUUUACCAGAAUGCAAAGUGACAGAGUUAAGCCAUACAAAUAAAAGGAAGAGGACAGCGCCAGGAAACUUGCAUCCAUCUCCUUUUCCGAUGACUGUGCCAGCUGCCAAAGUGCUGAUCGAAGUUGAAAGGUCAGCAGUCAUCUGUGGCAGAUGUGCUUCAUUAUGAUAAACACUUGGAUGCUGGAAAUGGUCCUGUUCGAAGAUAGUUUCUAGUUUAGUGAUGAUUGAAUAGAAAAGCCACCUAUAUCUUCUUGCUUAGCUUCCCUUGAGAAGAAUAAGAAAAGUGAGCUGUGCAGCCUUGUAACCAGGGAACAGAUUUCCUGCAUAAUAUUCACAACUUUGGCAAGGUAAUUAUUAUUGCCAUGUAACUUCUGGUAAAAUUUGUGGAAGAAUGGAAAUUACAUUAUUAGCUUUCACGUGUUGACGCAGAUUUGACUGGAUCAGUUUAAGAAGGCGAAUCAAUGUAAAUUUUCGUUUUUUCUCCCCAAUAAAUAUUUAUUGAGCACUACUAUGAGCUAUUUA
rnacentral:lncRNA from 1 species